GGAUGGUGGAGAGCAGCAGAGUAGCGAGGGCGUAGAUGGUGGUGCCACUCUGCACUCCCGUGCAUUUGCUUUAAAACUGAUAUCUGGCAAAAGCCAGAUUCUUUUCAAACCUGCAGCACGUCUUGAAAAAAUGUCACAGAGCAGCUGGUGUUUCCCAGUCCGCUCCACGGGGCUCUGCGUCGAGGACGGCGAGAAAACGGAGGAGGGAACACAUUUGGCUGGAGCUCCUGAUCGUCCUGUGACUGCGGCCUCAUCAGAUCGUUAUCAGCGGAGCAACUAAAGAGAAUGGACUCUUUUGUCAACAGGCAGGAAAAAGGUCAUGUAGGGGUCUCCUCUGGCCAGACCUGCUUCCUGUCUCUAUCACCGAGGAAAAGGAAAAAGGUCCUCUGGUGCCUUUGUCCCAUUGGCCAAGGUCCCGCCGGGCGCUGGCGGCAACCGAUGACAUCACUGUAUGAAACACGACGGGGGAGGGCGCGGUGCUGUCUCUUGUCACCCUGGCAACAGGUCCGUGUGUGUCUGUGUGUGUGUGUCCUUGUUAGAGUUAUGCACUGGUUGCCUCACCUCUGGCUAUUAGUCCCCAGCCGAUCCCCCUUCUAUGUCCUGCGCUUCCUUCUCUUUCUUUGCUCUGUCUUGCUGUCUUCCUUCCAUCUCUCCAUCUGGUCUGUUCCAGACGGAGUCACGUUUGAUCAUCUAAAAAGUGUCGAGUAACUUCACACACAAAUAGGAUCGUGUCCUCCUCCUCCUCCCAUCCGGGUCCCCUUUUCAUCUCUCCUCACUCCCUUUUCCUCCCGUUCACAUGCCCUUUCAUCUUCCCUCCUUUUCCCUUGUCCCCUUCUUUCUCCCUCCCCUCCUCUUCCCUCUUUUUAAGUAUUCAGCGGAGUCUAUGGCAAGUGGAUUGGUGGCGUGCCCACUUAAAAGGAGUGGAGGAAUCACACCGCUAAUCCCAUUGUGAGAGAACAAGGGCUGAGGCGGCCCGAUGUGUGUGUGCAAAAAGAGAGCGAGAGUCCGUGAGCGAGUGACAUUACAGAGAAAGCGUGUUUGAGGAAAGGAAGGCAGAGGGAUAUCCGACAGGUGGGCGAUGCAGAAAGUCAGAGGGACGGAGAGACAGUGGGGUCUUUGUGUGAGCGCCCUGUUAAAUCAGGCCUGUAACACCGGCUUUCAUUGGAAAGCCUCUCCAGACCCUUGUGAUAGGUGGCAAGCUUCUCUGAUCCAUACAUGAAAGACGGAGAGCAACGAAGGGUGAGAGAAACAAAGUGGGGGCGAAAAAAAAUGAUGAGAGAGUGGAAUGUGAAAAUGUAAUUUCUCUACUUCGUGUGCAGUUUUGCUAAUGACGAAGAUGAAAGGGGAAAGAAAAGACAGAAUCACCAUGGACUCAACGCCUCCCUACACUUUGUCAGGGCUGUGCGCCUGGCUCAUGGGCACUUCUGCACCGGUUGUUAGAGAGUGAACCUGUCUGACCCACCACACCUUGGUUCUGUAAAACAGUAAAAAACAAAAAACAAAAACAAGACGUUAAUGAAGAGAGAGAAACGCUGAGUGAAGAAGGAUCAGAGGAGACGUGAAUCUCGUCUGAUGUCUGUUCCAACCUUUACUUGCACCGUGCCAACGGCACCACUUCGUUCUUUUCUUCUUUUUCUCUGUCACCCCUCCCUUCCUCUCCAUCUCCCACCAGGCGCCAAACACACUUUUCUUUCAUUCCCAACACUUAAUUUCUCCCCCCCCCCUCCCCCCUCCCUCCCCUCUCGCCCAUUCCUCGCACUGUGGGAGGUAGAAAGAGAAUCAAGGAGGACGUUGAGACAUCGUUGUUAACGGUCGUCCUCUGAGCUCCCGUCUGAAACACACACAACAAGCGACGCGCAAUCACACGCGUGCAGGGAGGGGGUCACAUGGGCGGCCAGCUGUCUGUUUGCGUGUUUGUUGGAGGGCGUACCGGGACACCUGGGGCCUCAACUCGUGCUGUAAGGUCAGAGAGGGUUGCACUGCUGGUGGCUGGAGGGUUCACACACACACACACACACACACACACACACGCACACGCACACGCACACGCACACGCGCACGCACGCACUCACACACACGCACGCACACACCAUCAGUUGCCUCAAGACAGAAUUAGCCCGCGUCACUGUCAAACAGAAUGGAUUAGAUUACUUCAAAUGCUAAAUGGUGUGUAUGUUAGCAAUUGUGCUGCCAGCUAAUCCAUUAAAGAGACCACACUGGUCCCAGUAGUACCAGCACCAAUCCCCCCACAGUCUCAGCUGGACCAUUGGCUAAGUGGAUGGAGCAGCAUCAUUUACUUCAUUUAUUUAUAUGACAUUGUGGACUGUGUGAUGUUUUUAAAAAUAAUUCAACAUCAGGGGUACCACUUGUAUCGCCUGUGCUGUUCCUCUGUUAGUCCACUUUUCUCCUCUGUCUGUCCUCACAUGACCUUGACUGUACAGGUUGUAUUGUAUCAUGUGAGUAUCAUUUACAUCUAAAUUAGCAUUAGUUAAAGGUAUUGACUUCCCUGACUGAAUUAAAUCAACCCCAUUGAUCCAAACUGAGCCAACAACAGAUUCAAUUGGGCGGGAAUAAUCUGAUACCAUUCAAAGUCCAGACAAAAGAAAAUACCCUCUGAUGGAUUAUGGUGCCAAUUUGCUUGAAUGAUUUGAAUGUGAACGCUAUUGCCGGUUUGAAUUAGUUCCGGCUAAUUUAUCCACAAAAAAAAGCAAUGCAACCUUUCUCACAGAGACAACGGAGCUGAAAUAAACCUGACAUCUACAUUUAAUUUCUAGCUGUUGUAACGACGGAAUUCAAUUUCUUGAAAGGAACAUGAAUCCUUUCAGUCUUUGAUAGAGAACUUGUGUAAACUAAGCUGAUUAUUGGUUAAGUGUUUUUAGGGUGAAUCGAGAAAGAGGAUUGUAGAAAGGGGUAUUAGGGUUCGAGAGUUGUUUUUCAACGCGGGCAUUAAAAAUGGUUUUAAUCUCAUUGUUAUGAGACGUCGUGGCUUUAAGGCAUCAGUUUUUCUCCGUGGUUUUCGGGGGUGUCACUACUUUUGUGAGUCCGCUCCCGUCUGGACUUUGUCUCAAUAUGUUUACCGUAUUUGUGUCAAAUGCACUAAUACUUUAAUCCAAUUGUUAUGUGUUCGAUGUUGUUUUGGACAGAGCUUUGUGCGUUCCUCACAGUUGUAAGUGGUAAACAGAUUCAAUCUUUGCAGGCUCUUAAGGGACAUAUCAUCCAUCAUACAAUCUGGUAAGGCUCAGUUUGGAGAAUUUGUCAUUUUAAUUUCCUCUUCACACACACACACACACAGACACACACACACACAUGCAGAGCACCAUUAAACAGACAUUAGAACACAAGUCCAUUCCAACUCACAUCAUCAUCGACAUCAUCAUCACUCACCGUGUUUUACUCAUCAGCCUGGUCAUUUAAUUAGUUUUCCAUACAAACAAAAUAUACUAUAUUAAUAUUUAUCCCGUUUUGAUGAAAACACGUAAUACUGGAGAUUAUUUAAAUGUUAUAUGUUAUACCUGGAUUUGUGUGACAUCAGAAUCACCAUCUUGAAUAUAUGAAUAGUAGUAAUGCCUUUUAAGAACCUGAAGAAACAGUAGUUCAACGUGAACAAUGGGUAAAAUGCAUCACCAGAAGCGGCUCACUUGGACCUCCUCCUAAUUAAGCGAACUCAUCCCAACCUUCAAGCGGUCAACCCACAAAGACUGAGGAACGAGGUAUGUGUCCAAGACGGAGCAGAACAGGUUUGUGCAGUAAAAAGCUGAAUAACAUACUUUUUUCUGGAGGGUGGUCUUCUUUUCAGACCUUUCUGUAUUUCUGUAAACUAACACAUCUUGUUGUCACCUAAACCUUAAGAGAGUAAAUCAGUACUGUUGUUAAUUUAUAUUAAAAAAAAGUUCACAAAUGCUCAGUCUCUGAUGUUUGCUGCUCUUAAAAUAGAUGCAGCCACAUUUUCUUUAUUCUUUAUGUACACGUGUAUACAGUAUAUCUAUCUUUUGUGUGUCAAAAUCAACAGAUGCUUGAAAUACAAACGGUCCCAUCUGCAGGGAACCUUCAUCGUCACCAUGGUCGCCGUAGUUCUGACAGCUUGAGCAGCCACCGUGGUCCCUGUUGACGAGCCGCUGUCCUCCACCCACCAACACGAGGACGAGCGUCUUGUUGAUUGCUGAUUGAAGUGGUGUUUGCGACUCUGCAGUCGAACACACACUUCAAUCACGCUGGUACAUAAUUAAUCUCCAGUGUGUCCAAGAUUCUGGUCCCUUCCAACAAGGAAACCAGGUAACAGGUUGUCAGCGUGCACACAAAUUAGGAGACAAAAAAACAAAGAAAAGUGUGUUCUGACAACAAAGAAGUGGCCCCAGGAUGCGCCUGGAAGAGCGACCCGUUGUUGACAGUGUUUCACGAUGCAUCGGCCACCCAGGAGGCCGGAUCGAUCUCCCAGAGGUCUUGUGCUCUAAAUGAUCGUCCUUUGUAUCGGUUUGACAGCACAGGUAUUCAUUUGUUGUCUGUUUUCUUUUAAAUACUAUCAUUUUAGCAUUUCUGUGCAGUGUGUGGCUGAUAUUGAUUGAAUGCAAUCUUACACAUACUGUCAAUACUUACUUGCCCUCCAUUAGCAGGAACGGAUAGAUCAGAUGCAUAUUGAUUACAGUGUGCAGAUAGUGCUUGUAUUGUGUGCAAUCAGAUGCCUCUCCAAAUUCAUAAUAUGCUCUUAUAGAUUAUUUAAACUACUCUCUGGAGAAAAACGAGGGCAGACCUCAUAACAGACAAUGUCUUUUUUUCGUAGUAGUAAUUAAACUCAAAAGGAUCGUUACGAUUGUGACGCUGCCACAAAUUGUACUAUUUAAACGAGUUACUUCGAAAAGUGUACUUUAAUAAAUGGAAACAGCUGCUUAGAACAGCAGUUUAGCUGAAUGGACCUCACCUGUAUGCCUAGUUGUUGGUUUGUACAUGUACAUGUACAAUGCACAUACGCACACUUCCCUUCCUCCUCCACCCCUCUAAAUGUCAGAAAGCAUUGAUUGUGAGAUUGUGAGCAGGAGCCCACAGGCAAUUUCAGGUUGUGUUUGUGUCUUUACAAAGAUAUAGAAACAAACUGACAGUGUAUUUAAAGGUCAAACCUGAGUACUAAAGGGACUCAGUGUGUGUGUGUGUGUGUGUGUGUGUGUGUGUGUGUGUGUGUGUGUGUGGCAGAGGGGGACACAAAGACAUUUCUAAAGCAAAAGAAAGUAGGAUGGAAUCACUGUGUUUCUAUGUAGAACAUUGCAGGGACUGAAAAGAAAGCAAAGAUCUAUCGUAAUAGUAACUUUCUAAAGGAAAAUCCAUGUAUAGAUAUAUCAUUUGAUCUGGUUUCUCUUCAUGUACAAGCAGCUCGCGGAGAGAAACAAAAAAAAAGUUAGUUUCCGGC
ensembl:lncRNA